AGCUAUGAGACAUAGAUUGGAAGUCUGGAAAGCCUAGCAGAGGGUUGAGAGAUGCAUUUUAUACAAUUCAAUCGAAGUUCCUAAUCAAUCACCCAAUGAGUGUCCAAUCAUUAUUGUCUCCAUCUUAUAAAUGAGGGAACAGGUUAGAGAAGUGAAUUGCCUUUAAGUUGGUAUAUCUAGAAAGCAAUGAAUUGAAGACUCAAAUCUCAGUUCACUUAUUCCAAUAGCCACUGUUCUUUCUACUUGUAUAAUUCAGUAACUUUCUAGACAAAAAAGAAUUUUUAGCUAAUAUAUAAAUAAAAUACAAUCUCAUUUUAAUGCUAUGAGUCCAGAUAACAAGCAUUUAUGAUUCUGUGAGGUAAGUACUACAGGUAUUCUCUCCAUUUUAUAGAUGAGGAAACUGAGACUCAAAGAGUUGACAUAUAGGGAGUAUGCAAUAAUUUCAUCUCCUAGUUGAUCAAUUAGCUGAGUGUGGCCAUAGGCACUGAGGUCAUAGUGAGUCCAUGUAGAGAUUAUACUGGACUUUUUACCAAAAGGUCACAAAAGCAGUAACAUCUUGAAUGUGGCAUUGAGCACUGUGGGGAAAAGAUCAAGGUAGAACUUCUAUCUCAAUCGCCACAGAAGGAUGAAGCCAGGUUGGGAUGUAAGAGGAUCCUGCCUUGGUUCCAGCCCACUUUUUUCUCUUCUCUGAAGCCAUUCAUACACUAAAACAUUACCAGACUCUGUUGCAGGACAAGAACAAGCUGGAAUGUGAGCCAGAGACUUCCGAAGAUCUGAAAAUGUGGGCUGGUGCCUCUCAUACAUCCCUUCCUCACUCCCAGCUUUCCAGAAAGGCAAAUUGGAACUCAGAAGGAUUAAGCAACUUAUCCAUGGUUAUAUGUUCCAUGAUUCAAUGAAGAUAACUGUGAAACGCAAAGGUCCUUGAGUCCUAAGUCCCACUCAGGUAUUAAAGAAUAUUUGAAGAAUUCUUUUGACUGAUGAGAUGAUUUCUUAUCAAGAAUUUCCUUCAACCAUAACAUUCUAUUUUGAUACUUCUUCAAGGCUAUUUAACUUGG
rnacentral:lncRNA from 1 species